AAAAUGCGAUAAGUAAUGUGAAUUGCAGUAUUCAGUGAAUCAUCGAAUCUUUGAACGCACAUUGCGCCCGCCAGUAUUCUGGCGGGCAUGCCUGUUCGAGCGUCAUUUCAACCCUCAAGCCCCCGGGUUUGGUGUUGGGGAUCGGGCUGCGGUUCUACCGCGUCCCGGCCCCGAAAUCUAGUGGCGGUCUCGCUGCAGCCUCCAUUGCGUAGUAGCUAACACCUCGCAACUGGAACGCGGCGCGGCCAAGCCGUUAAACCCCCAACUUCUGAAUGUUGACCUCGGAUCAGGUAGGAAUACCCGCUGAACUUAAGC
rnacentral:misc_RNA from 1 species